rnacentral:rRNA from 1 species
GACGAACGCUGGCGGCGUGCUUAACACAUGCAAGUCGAACGGAAAGGCCCUGCUUUUGUGGGGUGCUCGAGUGGCGAACGGGUGAGUAACACGUGAGUAACCUGCCCUUGACUUUGGGAUAACUUCAGGAAACUGGGGCUAAUACCGGAUAGGAGCUCCUGCUGCAUGGUGGGGGUUGGAAAGUUUCGGCGGUUGGGGAUGGACUCGCGGCUUAUCAGCUUGUUGGUGGGGUAGUGGCUUACCAAGGCUUUGACGGGUAGCCGGCCUGAGAGGGUGACCGGCCACCUGGGGACUGAGGUACGGCCCAGACUCCUACGGGAGGCAGCAGUGGGGAAUAUUGCACAAUGGGCGGAAGCCUGAUGCAGCAACGCCGCGUGCGGGAUGACGGCCUUCGGGUUGUAAACCGCUUUCGCCUGUGACGAAGCGUGAGUGACGGUAAUGGGUAAAGAAGCACCGGCUAACUACGUG